AAUGGCACAUUCAGUGCUAAAAUUGCAAUGAUACAGAGAAAGUUAGCAUGGCACCUGGGUAAGGAUGAUAGGAAAACUCAUGAAGCAUUCCAUAUUCUU
rnacentral:snRNA from 1 species